rnacentral:rRNA from 1 species
UACGUAGGGUGCGAGCGUUGUCCGGAAUUACUGGGCGUAAGGAGCUCGUAGGUGGUUUGUCGCGUUGUUCGUGAAAACUCACAGCUCAACUGUGGGCGUGCGGGCGAUACGGGCAGACUGGAGUACUGCAGGGGAGACUGGAAUUCCUGGUGUAGCGGUGGAAUGCGCAGAUAUCAGGAGGAACACCGGUGGCGAAGGCGGGUCUCUGGGCAGUAACUGACGCUGAGACGCGAAAGCGUGGGGAGCGAACAGG